rnacentral:rRNA from 1 species
AAUCCGGUUGAUCCUGCCGGACCUUACUGCUAUCGGGAUAAGACUAAGCCAUGCGAGUCAUGCGCUCUCUAGCCAUGUUGAGAGUGCGGCAUACGGCUCAAUAACACGUAGUUAACCUACCCUUAGGAUGUGGAUAAACCCGGGAAACUGGGCUUAAUACUCAAUAGGCGGAUAUACCUGGAAUGGCUUUCCACUGAAAGGAUGUUAGAAACAUGCUUUUGACAUUGCCUAAGGAUGGGACUGCGUCCGAUCAGGUUGUUGGUGGGGUAACGGCCUACCAAGCCUAUAACCGGUACGGGCCCUGAAAGGGGAAGCCCGGAGAUGGGAACUGAGACAAGGUCCCAGGCCCUACGGGGCGCAGCCGUUGCGAAAACUUGUCAAUGCACGAAAGUGUGAACGGGCUACCCCGAGUGCUGUCCGCUGAGGAUGGCUUUUCUCUGCUGUUAAAAAGCGGGGGAAUAAGCGGGGGGCA